rnacentral:tRNA from 1 species
GUUUUAAUAGUAAACAAAUAUUACAUUACUUUUUCAAAGUAAAAUUAGAAAUAUCAUUCUUUAAUAUU